rnacentral:rRNA from 1 species
AUGAGACAAUCAGUAACUUCUAUUCAUUCAAUUCAAUUUUCUCUUUCUUUAAGCACAUGUGGUACAUUUCUGUGUGCAUGUUUACAUGUGGUACAUUUCUGUGUGCAUGUUUUUGUGCGACGGAGGACAUCCGAGUCCUUUUGCUAUCUUGAAGCAAACAAUCUCCAUGUUUGUAUAGUCCUUAGCAAACAUCACAAAGUGAUCCUUCUGUUGUUGAGGUUUCCCUCCAGGGAUUUCUCCAUUAGAAGGCAGUCUCAUAUUCCAUCGCCCUUGAUAGCAACGUUGCUGCAUUUAAACUUUGGGAAUUGCCAUGAGACUAACAUAUGUUCUUGCCCAAAUUUUAUUUCAAAUAUGCUGCAAUGUGUCUUUAUUUAUUUAUGA